rnacentral:rRNA from 1 species
AUUGAACGCUGGCGGCAGGCCUAACACAUGCAAGUCGAGCGAGCGGCGGACGGGUGAGUAAUGUAUGGGGACUCUCCGAGAGAGGGGGAUAACUACUGGAAACAGUGGCUAAUACCCCAUACUCCAGGAUAACCCACAUGGGAUUAGAUAGUAGGUAAGGUAAUGGCUUACCUAGGCGACGAUCCCUAGCUGGUCUGAGAGGAUGAGCAGCCACACUGGGACUGAGACACGGCCCAGACGCCUACGGAGGCAGCAGUGGGGAAUAUUGCACAAUGGGCGCAAGCCUGAUGCAGCCAUGCCGCGUGUAUGAAGAAGGCCCUAGGGUUGUAAAGUACUUUCAGUCGGGAGGCGUUACCGGCAGAAGAAGCACCGGCUAACUCCGUGCCAGCCGCCGCGGUAAUUC